CCUUGGGGUCUCAGUGUCUCCGGUGUCGCUCCUGGUCCAGCGCGCCGCUCCCCGCUGCGAGGUGUUGCCUUGGGCAGGGAGCUGCGCUGGGCUGUUCGCUCCCCCGGCAGCCCCAGCCCUGAAGGAAGCACCUCGCGUCCGAGAGAAGUAAGUGCGGCUGGGGGUGAGACGUGCUUUUUGGGGAGGACAGAGUGGCCAUCCUCUUCAACAGGCCUCGUUACUUCAUCUUCCCUCACGAGUAUUGCUGGAGACUUGGAAAAAGAUGGGUCGCAUCAGCACCAUUUUAACAUCUCGACCCUUGCUGGAAGUCCCAGAAGAGGCAAGGAAGCAAGUCAUCCUUUUCCCUCUCUUCACUUUGGUAGCGUAUUUGUGAGAGUAACAUGUGAAUGGCUUUGAAUUCUAUAAAAGUUUAAUGGAACACAAGUGUGGAAAACUGGCAAAAUUCCAGUGGAGGUGCAUCAUCUGGUUAAGGGUGACCACUAAAUAGAGGAAUGCUGCUGAAAAGCCACCAGGAAAAAAACACUUGCUUCAUGACCCCACAAGGCCUCCUUAUGGCCUGCUAUGAACUGCCUUCCUCUGUUAUCUCUGUUUUUUGGCACUGUUGGGUCAACUGAUUUAAAUCACUAAAAUAGCAGAAAACAGAUUACUAAAAUGGCUGAAUAACACUUCCAGUUUAGCGAGUUGAAUCAUCUUGUGGAAAGUGUUUGACAAGUGGCAGAGCCAGAACAAAGGAUGAGGAAGAGAACUGACCAGAGAUUAAGGAGUGAAGGGGGUUGAAUUUGGAAAUCAGUGGGAUGGGAAUGCCUUUCCAUUGACAGUAAACAGAUAAAUCAGCUCAGCUGCGGGUCAGGUUGUGGUUCUAAGAAAAAGGAAAAAACAAACAACCCCAACAGAUUCUAGAAUACAUUUCCUAACAGAAGCAACUUCUAAGAGUCCAAACUUUAGCAACCUACUUCAAUCAAAAGGGAUAACACUGGUUUUAACAUAAUUUGAGAAAUUGAUUGCUGUUUAUUGUGGUGUGUGGUCUUCAGAUUUUUAUGAAACAUUGCUAAAAAGUGGAAAAUCACUAAAAUUCAAUGAAUUACUUUUUAACAUGUCACUUGCAGAGUCACUGAAAAUUACAAGAGUUUUAAACUACUUCAUGUUGCUUGUUAUUUUGAAUUAUCUUCCUUAUCAUAUUGUUCAUGUGUGAAGUGUAUUCAAUUGAGAUAUGUAAAUGAUAUUCCCCUAGGACUUUUUUGGAACUACAGUGUGUAUGACGGAAUUAAUAUUUAAAUAUGUGAAAGUAGUAGAAAAUAAAAGGCUACAAG